AUGGGCGACGAAGAGGCCGCAAUUGGAGCACUCGGCGGUGGGGCCCGGCGGGGCGACGGCGGGGUCGAAGUGGGGGUCCUGCGCCGCGGCGGCGGCGGCGGCGGCGGCGUCCGUGUGGAGGAGGAGGAGGCAGGCGGAGCAGAAGGAGGCGGGGUGGUAGAGGAGGACGCAGGAGGAGCAGAGGCGGCAGAAGACGUCGUUGUGGCGGACGUGGUGGAGCGGCCAGGCAUCGCGGCCGGAGGCGCAGCGCUCGCCGCCGCAGCCGCGGGGGGCGGGGGCGGUGGAGGAUGGGGACGGGCGGAAGGGGGGCGUCAUCGCGGCGAGCGGCGGCUUUACAGGGUAAGGGAGGAGAGGGGAGGAUUAGGGUUUCUGAGGGAGGAAAGGCUCGGCCGAACGGCUCCUGGGGGAGAGAUUUUUCUCUCCUUUUUUCUUUCCUUACGGGAAUUUCGUGUUCAGGCGGGGUUCCACGAGCAAAGGAGGUAG
rnacentral:rRNA from 1 species